ACGAAGGGGGCUAGCGUUGCUCGGAAUCACUGGGCGUAAAGGGCGCGUAGGUGGCAGGCCAAGUCGGUGGUGAAAGCUCGAUGCUUAACAUCGAGUCGGCCAUCGAAACUGGUUUGCUCGAGCACUGUAGGGGCAGAUGGAAUUCCGGGUGUAGCGGUGGAAUGCGUAGAGAUCCGGAAGAACACCGGUGGCGAAGGCGGUCUGCUGGGCGGUGAACUCGCAAGAGUUCAAUAGCCGACACUGAGGCGCGACAGCGUGGGGAGCAAACAGGA
rnacentral:rRNA from 1 species